GAUUGCUGAGACUCCCAUGCUUGUUUGUAAAAUGUUGGUAACAAUACCUAACUUAUGAAUGAUGGGAGAAAAUGAAAGAAGUGUUACAUAAAUACUGCCCAGCACUUUACAAAAUGGCUAUCGACAUGUGCUUUCUUCCCCCUCAGUAAAAAUUUCAAAGUGUGUGGAAGCUGAUUUGAGGUUCCUGAAUGGAAAAUCACAGGAGCUGGGAAGGGACCAGCUGGCUGCCGGGGCUUCCCAGGUGCUGCUAAAGGCAAGUCUUCUAGAAGCAACAUCCGAGCCUGAUGAGGAAUGGCGUGCUGGCCCCCCUGCCUCUCCUGUAGGACCACCCAUUUCUGAGGGACUGAUGAUGGGGCAGAAGGAAAAGGCGGCCUAGAGGUGUUUCAUGAUGAGAUUCAGAACUUGACCACUUGAAAGUGGGCAGAAGUUAGGUUAAACCCAUUAAAAGAGGAAAGGGCUUCAGAUGUGCAUGGAGGGAGGGGCUGGAACAAGUCACCAAAGUCCUGGAGGUUGAAGCGUCAUCUGGGAAAACCCCUGGUCCCACCCCAGGGUUCUGUGUGUACCCAAGACAAAGUUACAUCGAAGUGACAC
ensembl:lncRNA